ensembl:lncRNA novel transcript, antisense to DYSF
AGGCCUGGGACCAGACCUUCAGGGGAGAAGGAGGAGAGCCCUGCAGUACAGCGCUUCGCCGCCGGCAACGCAGAAAGACCUCUUUUCAGAGAUCCCGAAAAGGUGAGAGGAGAGAUGCUGGUCCCACCUUCCUGGCCUACCUCAGUACCAACCUGGGCUGAAGCUUCCAGGAGAAGCGCCAUUCAGACACCUCUCUCCUUCCAGCCUCAGUUUCCCUCUGAGUCGCCCUCUGCAGACCUGUGUCGUUGCAACACUCAACGUCAGUCUGGCGGGGCCAGAAAGUCUCCUGUCUCUCAGCUCUAGGUGCUCUCCAGGGUUGAGAGCCGCGGCGUCCCCUCCUCUACCCCACCCCGACCCCGGGCGAGGGUGGUCGGCCCCUCCUACCUGCAAACACCGCGGAGCAGUAGGCAUCGCUGAUGUCGGUGUCGGGUGUGUGGACGUUCUCGGCAUAGAGGAUGAAGACCCUCAGCAUGCUUGGCGCGUGUAGGGCCCCGUGCGCCCAGGGCGCAAAGAGGGCUCGGAAAGGUCGGGAGGGCCGAGGCGCCGCUUGUGGGUCCCCUCGCUGGAGAGGGCUGGCUGGGCGAGGCCGGCUCGAAUCUCUGGCUCCUGGCUUAGAGCAGUUGCUCUUAAAGGGGAACGGGCCACCCCCGGCUGCUCCAGUGGGCUAGGCUGGGUCCCCGCCCCGGCUGCGCUCACCCCGCUUGUCAGCCGGCGUUCCGAGAACAGGGGCUUCUGCUCAUCUUCCACCCCCGCCGCCCUUCCCGAGCUCCGUCGAGCUGUAAUCUAAUGCUCCGGCUGCGGAGUCUCCCAAUGACACGGCAUUUUGCACCUGGCUGGGCGGCGGCCGCGAUGGCCGGGGGCUGGACUAGGGCUCCGGGCGCCCGGCGUAGCCCAGAUCUCGCUCUUGGACAGGAGAAAGGCUCGGCUCCUCCCCUGAGCUUCUACCCCCUGGCUGAGUGCUGCGCCAAAUCGGUUGCCUCCUUCCGCCUCGGGGAUUGGAGCAGUCUCUCCAGAACUCAACCCGACCGCCCGGGGUAGGACGGGGGAUCCUGGGGAGGCCUCUUUCCCUAAGAGAAGCCUGGAGUUGAGAAUUUCAUUGACAAGCAAGGCAGCUGCCUUAAAAACUUUGCCCCCUUUUUCUGGCUUUAAAAGCAACACAUGCCAUUUUAAAACAAAAAGCAUAAAGAAAGAAAUCUCUGGUUCUGAAAAAAUAGUAUAUUAACAUUUGGGUAUUUGGCAGCCCAGGCUUUCUCCUCUGAAUGUAUACACACAUGUAAAUUGCAGUAUUUAUUAUAUAUCUGAGUGUAGAAUGCAGUCUGUGUCCCACGUUUUCAUGUAACAUCUUACAUCAUUAAACAAUUAUUCAUAAACACUAUUUUCAAUAGCUAUA